rnacentral:hammerhead_ribozyme from 1 species
AUCCAACUGACGAGUCCCAAACGAGACGAAACGCGCGACAAACUGGAU